rnacentral:misc_RNA from 1 species
UACGGAGGGGGCUAGCGUUGUUCGGAAUUACUGGGCGUAAAGCGCACGUAGGCGGAUUGGUAAGUUGGGGGUGAAAUCCCGGGGCUCAACCUCGGAACUGCCUCCAAAACUGUCAGUCUGGAGUUCGGGAGAGGUGAGUGGAAUUCCGAGUGUAGCGGUGAAAUUCGUAGAUAUUCGGAGGAACACCAGUGGCGAAGGCGGCGCACUGGCCCGAUACUGACGCUGAGGUGCGAAAGCGUGGGGAGCAAACAGG